rnacentral:rRNA from 1 species
CCUACGGGAGGCAGCAGUGAGGAAUAUUGGUCAAUGGACGAGAGUCUGAACCAGCCAAGUAGCGUGAAGGAUGACUGCCCUAUGGGUUGUAAACUUCUUUUAUACGAGGAUAAAACAGGGUACGCAUAUCCUGUUGUAUGUACCAUAUGAAUAAGGAUCGGCUAACUCCGUGCCAGCAGCCGCGGUAAUACGGAGGAUCCAAGCGUUAUCCGGAUUUAUUGGGUUUAAAGGGAGCGUAGGUGGAUUGUUAAGUCAGUUGUGAAAGUUUGCGGCUCAACUGUAGAAUUGCAGUUAAUACUGGCAGUCUUGAGAGCAGAAGAGGUAGGCGGAAUGCGUGGUGUAGCGGUGAAAUGCUUAGAGAUCACGAAGAACUCCGAUUGCGAAGGCAGCUCACUGGACUGCAACUGACACUGAUGCUCGAAAGUGUGGGUAUCAAACAGGAUUAGAUACCCGGGUAGUC